GACAGAGGUGCCGAGCGUUAGGCGGAAUCACUGGGCUUAAAGCGUGUGUAGGCGGAUCGUUAAGUACCUUGUGAAAUCCCACGGCUUAACCGUGGAACUGCUUGGUAUACUGGUUCUCUUGGGCCACUUAGGGGCUACCGGAACAAACGGUGGAGCGGUGAAAUGCGUAGAUAUCGUUUGGAACGCCAAUGGUGAAAACAGGUAGCUGGGAGUGUGCCGACGCUGAGACACGAAAGCCAGGGGAGCGAACGGG
rnacentral:rRNA from 1 species